AGACAUGUAAAAUAUUAUGAAUAUAUUUUUUAAAAGACAGACUUGUGCAUUUUCAGUCGUACUAAAGUGUUUGGGAGACAUUAAAAAAAAUGUAGUCAGAUUGAAAUCGAACUUUUAAAAUGCAUGUAAACAUACUUAGCGGUGACUCAGACUGAGGUUCUCCAGUCAAGGAAGUUUGACAUCAGUAUUUCACGGUCCUGCAUGCUGACUAAUGCAUAAACACUUCGUGCUCGCUGGACUCAUUGAACAGGCAGUGAAAUUGUUCCAGACUGCAGCUCUUCAAUUCAAUUAAUUAUUGAUUGGAUCAUCAUCUGCAUGCGCUGCUAACUGCCUCAGAUCAAAGGCACAGAGAGAGUAUGUGUGCGUUCUAGGUUUCCGUCCCGCUGACAGCACGUCAAAUGGAGGAAGACAGAGAAGCUAUCACUUGUAGGACUGUACGCACAGAGCAUGUCAAGACUUAAGCAAAGAAGAGUAGUGGGCGAAAAACACUUUGGGCAGUUUUGGAGAGAUAAGUGAGAGGCAGAAUCCCUCCUUCAGCAUCUCUAAUAAAACUGUGCAACGAGACCACCGUGAAAAAUCAUGCUGGUCUAAGCUAGUCUUUUGCCCUGUCAAAAUUGUGCACUGUAAGGAAUAUAUACCUCAUGAGGCUGCAUAAAAGGCAA